UUCGCCCUUAGAGUUUGAUCCUGGCUCAGGACGAACGCUGGCGGCACGCUUAACACAUGCAAGUCGAACGAGAGAAGAGAAGCUUGCUUUUCUGAUCUAGUGGCGGACGGGUGAGUAACACGUGAGCAAUCUGCCUUUCAGGGGGGGAUACCGAUUGGAAACGAUCGUUAAUACCGCAUAACAUAAUUGAACCGCAUGAUUUGAUUAUCAAAGAUUUAUCGCUGAAAGAUGAGCUCGCGUCUGAUUAGCUAGUUGGUAAGGUAACGGCUUACCAAGGCGACGAUCAGUGGCCGGACUGAGAGGUUGAUCGGCCACAUUGGGACUGAGACACGGCCCAGACUCCUACGGGAGGCAGCAGUGGGGAAUAUUGCACAAUGGAGGAAACUCUGAUGCAGCGAUGCCGCGUGAGGGAAGAAGGUUUUAGGAUUGUAAACCUCUGUCUUUGGGGACGAAAAAUGACGGUACCCAAGGAGGAAGCUCCGGCUAACUACGUGCCAGCAGCCGCGGUAAUACGUAGGGAGCGAGCGUUGUCCGGAAUUACUGGGUGUAAAGGGAGCGUAGGCGGGAUCGCAAGUCAGAUGUGAAAACUAUGGGCUUAACCCAUAAACUGCAUUUGAAACUGUGGUUCUUGAGUGAAGUAGAGGUAAGCGGAAUUCCUAGUGUAGCGGUGAAAUGCGUAGAUAUUAGGAGGAACAUCAGUGGCGAAGGCGGCUUACUGGGCUUUAACUGAGGCUGAGGCUCGAAAGCGUGGGGAGCAAACAGGAUUAGAUACCCUGGUAGUCCACGCCGUAAACGAUGAUUACUAGGUGUGGGGGGACUGACCCCUUUCCGUGCCGCAGCAAACGCAAUAAGUAAUCCACCUGGGGAGUACGACCGCAAGGUUGAAACUCAAAGGAAUUGACGGGGGCCCGCACAAGCAGUGGAGUAUGUGGAUUAAUUCGAAGCAACGCGAAGAACCUUACCAGGUCUUGACAUCGUAUGCAUAGCUCAGAGAUGAGUGAAAUCUCUUCGGAGACAUAUAGACAGGUGGUGCAUGGUUGUCGUCAGCUCGUGUCGUGAGAUGUUGGGUUAAGUCCCGCAACGAGCGCAACCCUUACUGUUAGUUGCUACGCAAGAGCACUCUAGCAGGACUGCCGUUGACAAAACGGAGGAAGGUGGGGAUGACGUCAAAUCAUCAUGCCCCUUAUGACCUGGGCUACACACGUACUACAAUGGCAAUAUAACAGAGGGAAGCAAUACAGCGAUGUGGAGCAAAUCCCCAAAAAUUGUCCCAGUUCAGAUUGCAGGCUGCAACUCGCCUGCAUGAAGUCGGAAUUGCUAGUAAUCGCAGAUCAGCAUGCUGCGGUGAAUACGUUCCCGGGCCUUGCACACACCGCCCGUCA
rnacentral:rRNA from 1 species